rnacentral:rRNA from 1 species
ACGCACGCUGGCGGCGUGCUUAACACAUGCAAGUCGCACGGUGAAGCUCCAGCUUGCUGGAGUGGAUCAGUGGCGAACGGGUGAGUAACACGUGAGCAACCUGCCCCAGACUCUGGAAUAAGCGCUGGAAACGGCGUCUAAUACUGGAUACGAGAUCAAGCCGCAUGGUUAUGGUCUGGAAAGUUUUUCGGUUUGGGAUGGGCUCGCGGCCUAUCAGCUUGUUGGUGAGGUAAUGGCUCACCAAGGCGACGACGGGUAGCCGGCCUGAGAGGGCGACCGGCCACACUGGGACUGAGACACGGCCCAGACUCCUACGGGAGGCAGCAGUGGGGAAUAUUGCACAAUGGGCGAAAGCCUGAUGCAGCGACGCCGCGUGAGGGAUGACGGCCUUCGGGUUGUAAACCUCUUUCAGCAGGGAAGAAGCGAAAGUGACGGUACCUGCAGAAGAAGCACCGGCUAACUACGUG